rnacentral:rRNA from 1 species
GAUGAACGCUAGCGGCAGGCCUAAUACAUGCAAGUCGAACGGUGUAGCAAUACACAGUGGCGCACGGGUGCGUAACACGUAUGCAACCUACCUUACAUUAGGGGAUAGCCUUUCGAAAGGGAGAUUAAUACCGCAUAAGACAGUAACUGGGCAUCCAGUAGCUGUUAAAGAUUUAUCGAUGUAAGCUGGGUAUGCGUCAAAUUAGUUAGUUGGCGAGGUAAUGGCUCACCAAGACGAUGAUUGGCAGGGGAACUGAGAGGUCAAUCCCCCACACUGGCACUGAGAUACGGGCCAGACUCCUACGGGAGGCAGCAGUAGGGAAUAUUGGGCAAUGGGCGCAAGCCUGACCCAGCCAUGCCGCGUGCAGGAAGAAGGCGUUAUGCGUUGUAAACUGCUUUUAUACAGGAAGAAACGACCCUUGCGAGGGGCAUUGACGGUACUUUAUUAAUAAGCACCGGCUAACUCCGUGCCAGCAGCCGCAGUAACAC